rnacentral:lncRNA from 1 species
CUAGAUCCUUGACCUCCAGAAUUACUCUAAUGGAUUAAAGCUUAAUAACUCAUAUAUUAACUACUACAUAAAAUGAAAAAGUUUCAUCUCUCCCUUGAAAAAGGGAGAUUAACCUAGCAUAAUACUAAACUAAAAUCUAUUAAAUGAAAUGACAUAAAAUAAAAACUAACUAAACUAAAAGAAGAAGAAAAGAACUUUUAUGAGAAUGAGUUUUUGCUCUCCACUCUUGAUGAUCAUUACAAUGAAUAGAGCUCCCUAUUUAUAGAUCCAUGGGGAGCCUAAAAGGGAAAAAUUGCAAAAUAUUACAUAAUAUUUGAUUUGAUUGCUAAUCAAAUCAUUUGUGGAAGAAAAUGUCAAGAAUAAAAUCUUUGAAUGAUUGUGGUCAAAUAUUAAUGAAAAACAUGUGUUGAAAAUCAAAUCCUUGCCACCAUUGUUGCCAAUUCUGUAUAAAACUGCCAUAUAUAGUGGUAUUCUAGAAGAUACUGGCAAUCUUUCUUGGAUGGUUGAGUUGUCACAAUAUUCUCCAUAUUUUACACAUGCUAGAAUCUUAAAUAUCAACCUUGAAGUGAUUCCAUACUCCAUCUUCUAUUUAGUAGUCUCACUUCACUUAUCUCCUUAAUGGGCCUCUCUUGGAUUUAAGCUUUGUAGAUAAUUUAUGGGCUCAUUUAGAUUUAAUCCACUAAUAUUCAUUCAAGGCUUUGACCAUUUGGAUCCAUGACUUUGGGCUUCGUACUUGACUUUUCUCUUUUUGCUCUUUUUAUAUCAUUUUGUAGGCUUUUUCUUUGAUUUAUUAUUUUCUAGGUUCUUUCCUACAAAAAUACAAAAACAAUAGAUAUUACUCUAAUUCAAGUCCAAAAGUGAGUUCUAACAUCAUACUAAUUAGGGGUAAAAACUACGUUUUUGGAUACUUAUCUCAACCCCCAAACUAGCAUUUGCUAGUCCUCUAGCAAAAGAGAGAAAUAAAUUAAAAGCAUAAGUAGACAAAAACUUUAUUUAAUAUACAGGUUAUACCAUUACGUGGUAUGAGACGAGUGCAUUAACCAAAUGCACUAAGACCUUAAACCCCUAGGUUUUCCCUAGUAGGAUGAGUUAUAGCCUCGUGAGGGUUUGCAGAGAAUAUACCCACAAAAUUCAGAAAAACAAAAAUGGGAAUAAUGGUGAUGCAACUUUUCUCAGAGAAAAUAAUAUUUUCCAAAUGUUAAGUUCAUGCUCACACUUUAUAUCACAUCAUCCAUCAUAAAUCUAACAGAUUGUAUUUUAUUUCUAGAAAUAGAGACUAUCCGAUCAUAAUCCUGACAAAGUGUGUGUGUGUGUGUUAAUAGCCACAAAAUAUAAUUUUUCUUAUCCAAGCAAGGAAAUUCCUAAUUUUCUUUUGAAAAAUUCGCUUUGACCCAAAUCUCACCGGGCAUACACUCAGAAAAAAAAUCGCUCAGAGAUUAGUUUUAUCAUUUUACCUCUAUAUGUGAGGGAAGGAAUUAAAAAUCAGAACAUCCCACAUAUGUAAAAAGAAACACUUUAUCUUUAUAAUAGUCUCAUAGAAUGGAUAUUGAUCACAUGCGAGAGUGUCGGGUAUUUCACCUUAGCGUCUUCUCACCUAUUCUCCACUUUUUACCAUACAUCAAUUUGAAUCGAAUAAGUAUAAAAAUGUUGUAACUUGGCUUGGGGCGGGUUUAUGAAAGAAAGAUAAAUGAUCAAAGUUUUCUAGAGAUACGAAGGGUCUUCAUUUAUCUUUGACAAAUUUUUGACUUCAAGGUUCAUUUAAGGAGAUUUGAAUCUUCAUACUUUAAGAUAUCUUCAAUUUCUCGACUUUGAAAAUUCACUAAUAUCCAUUUCUUCAUUGGUUUUUUUGUAAUUGACUGUACAUGGAUAUUUUCUUGCAUUCCAUCAACUCUUUUUUAUUUUUUAUUUUUUUUAAAGACAGAAAUCUUCACAACCAUCAUUCUCCUUUUCUAAUGUUUGUCUUCAUAAUUCAUCCUUGGCAUAUCUAAAAAAAUAGGUAAUGGAUAUAAGUUGAGGUGUAAAACUCCAAAUUUAGAGUAUUGGGUAUGGAUAAUGGGCUUAGAAAAAGGCUUAGUCAAAGGCUCAGAAGGGCUCCUACUUGGAUAUUAUUAUUUUAGGUGGACUAAAGGCUAAAUUGGCUAAAACUAAAAAGAUACUUAUUUUCAUCUUUAAAAGGGUAGUAUGGUAAUUUUAUCUUGAAAAGACUACAAGACCCAAAUUUAUAUCUCCCCACUUGACUUCACUCUCGUGAUCAAUCAAAGUAAAAAUAAUGAGACUAGAACGAAUUCAAAUAACGCUGAAAGAAAAAUUGAGCCAUGUAGGACCCGGAGUGACGUAUAUAACUCUCCAAAGAAAAGAAUGGCUCAAGUCUCACAUGGUUAUAUGAUCUCCACAUUUAUUCCUCUAGAUCCUUAGGAAGUUAAUUGCUUUUCAAUUCAAAUUACACUUGUGGCUUUUGUGCAUAAAAUUUUCCAAGUCAGGAUUUUUACGAAUAAAAUCUAUUUAUAGUAAUAACACACUAUCUUACUACAUAAAUAACUUUUGAAAUGAUUUUCCAUGUUUGCAAUUCCCAAACACUUGAACUUUAAAAAUUCAUAUCUCAUCAUAGAAAAUCACCAUUAGUCUUAUAUAUAUAUAUAUAUAUAUAUAAAACAAAAAAUUAGGUAAUAAAAUUUCAAGAUUUAAAUUUUAGCCUUUCCCCCCAAACUAAAUCAUGCAUUGUCCUCAGUGCAAAAGAAUUUAAUAACACAAGCAAAAAUUUAAUUGAAAGUGAAUUUUAUUACCAAUAGAACUAUACUACAAGAACUUGGGUUGCCUCCCAAGAGCGCUAAGUUUUAUGUCUUCAGCCAGACAUAAGUUUUGGGUCUUUUUAAAAAGUCAGAUUCCCGAGACUUAAAAGUUCUAACUUAUAAUUAAACAAUUUCCUAAGUAGCGCUAAGUUUUUUUUCUUCAGCUAGACGCACUAGACAUUCUCAUUGGUAUUAGCCAAAUGUCAAAAUCUUAAAUAAUUGAUAAUCCUUCCAGAAAAUUGAACCAUUGAAAUUAACAACAAACUGGAUAGCGCGGAAAAAAGGUUCAUAUAAUUAAAAUAAUCUCUUCCAACAUAAACUUGAUGCACAAAUGUUUGGGAGAAGUAUGGGCUUGUAUAGGCUUGUAGAUGGGAUGGUGAAUUAUGAGCCAAAGGAUUGAGCGCAUGAAGAUUCUCGUCCCCCCGGUCUAUCUCUUGAUGGUUGAAGUACUUGUAUAGUAUUGGUGAUACUAUAAGAUCAUAAUCUAAGUUUGGGGCUUUACAAAAAGAGAUGAAAGGUUGGACAUUUGGAGUAUGGAUGUUGGAUUCCUUUGAGUGAGUUUUUACAAUAGAAAAGUUACUUGAGUCAAUAUAAUUAUUCGCAAGUUAAUUCUCUCAAGAUUGGGUCAUCACUUUUCAUUAAGAAAUUAAUACACUCAUUUAUGGGUGGAUCAUUUGGAUCCUCCGGAUAGAGGCGAUAAAAUUCUUCAUCGGUCAUUAAGUCCUCAUGAGGUUGGCUUAGUUUGAGAUGGUCAUCAAGGUAAUACUUUUCUAUAGCCAUGAUGGAACAUACAUCCUCUACCAAAUCCAAAUCUUCUGGUGGUUUUGUAAGCGUAGAUAUGUUCACUUCGAUCUUCAUAUUCCUAAAGGUUAAGGUCAUGUUACCAUUUCGACAAUUAAUAAUGGCAUUAACAGUAGCUAAAAAUGAUCGACCUAAAAUAAUUGGUAUUUGUUUCCCUUGGGUAGGUUGAGUAUCUAAGACAACGAAAUCUACCGGAUAAUAGAAGUUUUGUAUUUUCACAAUUACAUCUUCAAUAAUACCCUUCGAAAUUUUGAUACUUCUAUCGGCCAAUUGUAAACGCACAUCCGUGGGUUUUAAUCCCAAUCCUAGUUGUUUAUAUAAUGAAAAAUGUAUCAGAUUGACCACAGCUCCAAGAUCUAGGAGAGCUUGGUCCUCAAAGUUUUCACCUAUCUUACAUGAAAUGGUUGGGCUACCUGGAUCCUUAUGUUUGACAACCGCUUGAUUGAGAAUAUAAGAUGUAGACUGUUGUGUCAAGAAAGCCUCUUUCGGUAGAUUUGUUUUCUUUUUAAGCAUAUCCUUGAUACAUUUUUCAUAGGUCGGUAUUUGUUUGAUGGCUGUUAAGAAUGGAAUAUUGAUUUGAAGAUGUUGAAAAAUUUCUGCUAACUCAUUGAACUUACUUUCUUGUCUGGGUUUUAACCUGGACGGAUAUGGUGCAAUGGGUCGUGGUACUGUUGGUUUGUCUUUCUUAGGCUCUUGAUUCUUCUUUGGUGCAAUAACUUCGUUUUCUUUUGUAGGGGGUGAUUCUUUCUCACUUUAUUCAGCAGAUUCUGUUUCUAAGUUUCGUUGUGAUUCUUCUAUGUUAUCUUUUUCUACAAAAUUAUCUCGUUCAGGAACGUAAUCCACUUUGUUGUCAACUUUCUUUCCAGAUCUAAGGGUAGUUAUUGCAUUCAUUUGUUGGUUUGAGGUGGAUGCCUCAUAUACGCCUUUUCCUCUAGGAUUUGGCUCAAGUUGACUGGGUAAACUACCUUUUAGUCUUUCAGCUAAAGUUGUGACUACUUGACCUAGCAAUUGUUGCAUCAUUUGGAACUGCUUAUUUGUUUGUUCUUGCAUUGAGAGCAUGUGUUUGUUAGUUUGCUCUAUCUGUUUGUUCGUUUGUUCUUGCAAGUAAUCUACCCGCGUAUUAGUUUGUUCUAAAUUUUGGGCCACAACCUUUAGUGUAUUUUCAAAAUUUGCGUUAGGUUGAGCCAUCGAUGCUUGGUAAUUUGUCAUGGGAUCUACCACAAUGGUUCUAUUAUUGUAUAAAGGUUGUGUUGGCAUAUUGUUUGAGUAAUUAGGAGGAUUUACGACAUUAUUUGGUUGGCUCCACGUAAAAUUUGGAUGAUUCCUCAUAUCAGGAUGGUAGGUGUUUCCAAAGGUAUUGGCAGUGGGUCUCCUAGUGUAAGCAUUAUAAGCAUAAACUUGUUCUAAAGCUGGUUCAUACAUGGUAAAAACUGGACAUGCAUCAACAGUAUGAGAUAUUUCUCCACAUUGUACACAAGAUUCUAUCUGGGUAUAAUUAAUAUUAUUGGCAGAAACCAUGCUAAAAGUAUCUAUUUUCUUACUUAAAGACUCAACGGUGGUAGCUAGCUUAGAUAUUGUCGAUGUAAGUUCGGAGUCUUGCUUAACAUUAUACUUUCCAGUUUUUAUCGGUAUUCCCUCUAUUUUAGCAAUAUUCUCAUUGUUGCCACCCCAUUUUUGAGCGUUCUCGGCUAGUUCCUCAAGGAAUUUGUAAGCAUCUUCGGCCUUUUGUUUUAGAAAUUUCCCUUGGUGCAUAGACUCGAGCAAUGUUCGAUUCAUUCCAGAAAUUCCUUUGUAAAAAUGGUGAACUUGUUGGGCUUUGUCGAAGUUGUGGUGUGGGCAACGAAUAAGUAAAUCGUUAAAACGUUCCCAACUUUCAGAAAAUUCUUCGUCGGGCUUUCCUUUAAAAUUGGCUAUUACAGCUCUCAUAGCAUCUGUUUUGGCUUGUGGGUAAAACUUUGCUAGGAAUUUUCUUUCUAACCCUUCCCAUGUAGUGAUUGAAUUGGCUGGUAAAGAGUUAAGCCAAUAGGCAGCUUUAUCUUCAAGGGUUAAAGGAAAUAAACGCAACCUAAAAUCGUCGAUACCCAAAUGCUGAUUCUUGACAGUGUUUAGAAUUGUAAUAAAUUUACGCACAUGACGAUAAGGUUGUUCAUUUUCGAAUCCAUGGAAUUUAGGUAACAUGUGGAUAAUUGAAGGUUUUAUUUCAAAAUGUUGUGCAUCACAUGCUGGCAAUACAAUAGAAGAAGGCGGGUUGGUGGUUACUGGAGCAAAUUGCUCAUCGAGAUUUCUAGCAUCCACAAGGCCCGCCUUGAUAGAAAAGGUAGUUGGCGAUAAAGGAGUAGAAGAUUCCUCGUCCGAGGAUAGAAGAUCAAUACUAACUAGACGAUUAAUUUCGUUUCUCACCCAACCAAGUUUGGGCAUACAAAGUAAUCAAGCACAAACAAAAAAUUAUUAUAGAUCAAACAAAUCAAUUUUUUUUUUUUUUUUUACUAUAAUUCAAAUUUUUUUUUUAUUUAAUUUUUUAGGUUACGAAUUUUAAGCAAAACUAAUACUUCUAGACUUAGCUCCUACUCUUGGCAAGGUAAAAUCUUAAGUAGUUCAAAUAACUUUCGCCCAAAUGCAACCAGAUCAGUUCCCAGAUUCAGUGGGGGGUCUUCUGUGUAUAACACGUUCUUCAAUUAUGUAACCAUUUAAACCUUAGACGGCAUUGCAUGUUGUUUAACAGAACUUUUCUAGACAUUGCACAAGAAGUACUAAUUAUAAGAAUUCCUUAAAAUCUUAUCCUAUUUAAGAGGGUCUUAUGAGCUAUAUAGCAACCCUUGGCUUGAAGUCUAAUAAAUUUAAAUUAUUAAUCGGGCUUAGGUUAUGCAAGAUGUUGAGAUUUUUAACCUAAGUGGGCAAAAUAGCGGUGAUGAAAUCCACUACUUUAUCUUGUUGGGGUUCUUGCCCUUAUCUAAUAUUUUAUGCAAAUGUUAAAUUAAAUGCGCAAUACACCACUCAAUUAAAAUAAACCGCUAACUUGGACUUCGCGGUGAGAAGAUUUACUUACAGGAUCGGGCCACUAAAAAUGAAUUAGUGUACGAACCCGUGCAGAAACAAACUAGUCAAUUGUCCGUGACUAUUUGUUGUCCUUCUCUACCAGAUAGUGAGUGUAUAAAUGUAAUAAUUGAAACUAUAGUCUACUAUAAUUUAAUUUCUAACUAAAAUUGAAAACAAGUAACUAGAGAAAAGAGAAAAAAAUAAACUCAAUAUGGAUGGUGAGAGGGUUGGCUGGGUCCCAAUAGACUGUCGAUCAGUAUGAUGACGCCUUUUCUUCCUUGGUUCGAUUCCUUCUUAGACCGGCAACGACGCCAAUUGAAAGGCACGAAAUAGUCGUUAAUUAGAUCGCGUCUUUCAAAACCUUGCUUUGACUACCUAAAAUGAGUAUAGCUUCAAGAAAGGGUUAUCGAAUCCACGUUUAAGAGAGAACCAAGUUAAAUGAAGAAAAGAAAACCAUUUUUACAAAUCUAGAGAAUAUUGGGAAAAUAAUUUUGCAAGGUAUUGGUGAUUAACUACUACUAAUGUAAGAAAUAAUUGUACGAAGAUAAAUAUGAUGAAGAUUUCAAGAGAUUGAAUCCACCAAUUCAAUUAUGUAAUACUUAAUAUAUAGAUUUAUCAAGAUUGAUCCGUAGAUAGAUACUCAUUACACACUAAGAUGAUUCGAAAUGCAUAAUGGGAAGGUAUGGCUUUAAACACUUAUUCUAUCUACAUUAGAGUCUAUCAAUUCUGGAAAACCAAUGAUACUUUUUAUCAUUAAAAUCUGAGGAAAGACUACAACACAAUGUACAACUAUUAUGUUGGUGGCAAGAAAGAGUACGUUCGUCUUUCAGACCGUCACUCAAUGUGUCCCCAAAUUGCUAUAGCAAAGUGUAUAUUCCAUCUACUAAAAGAAUUUAAAGAACUAAGAAGAAAGUAAAUAAACACCUUAAUAUGUUUCAUUUCACAAAUAAAUCAUUGCAAUUACUUACCUCUAACCUUCUCUCGAAGCGCUAGAUCCUUGACCUCCAGAAUUACUCUAAUGGAUUAAAGCUUAAUAACUCAUAUAUUAACUACUACAUAAAAUGAAAAGGCUUCAUCUCUCCCUUGAAAAGGGAGAUUAACCUAGCAUAAUACUAAACUAAAAUCUAUUAAAUGAAAUGACAUAAAAUAAAAACUAACUAAACUAAAAGAAGAAGAAGAAAAGAACUUUUAUUUGAAUGAGUUUUUGCUCUCCACUCUUGAUGAUCAUUACAAUGAAUAGAGCUCCCUAUUUAUAGAUCCAUAGGGAGCCUAAAAGGGCAAAAUUACAAAAUAUUAUAUAAUAUUUGAUUUGAUUGCUAAUCAAAUCAAAUCAUUUGUGGAAGAAAAUGUCAAGAAUAAAAUCUUUGAAUGAUUGUGGUCAAAGAUUAAUGAAAAACAUGUGUUGAAAAUCAAAUCCUUGUCACCAUUGUUGCCAAUUUUGUAUAAAACUGCCAUAUAUAGUGGUAUUCUAGAAGAUACUGGCAGUCUUUCUUGGAUGGUUGAGUUGUCACAAUAUUCUCCAUAUUUUACACAUGCUAGAAUCUUAAAUAUCAACUUUGAAGUGAUUCCAUACUCCAUCUUCUAUUUAGUAGUCUCACUUCACUUAUCUCUUUACUGGGCCUCUCUUGGAUUUAAGCUUUGUAGAUAAUUUAUGGGCUCAUUUAUAUUUAAUCCACUAAUAUUCAUUAGAUCUGUGACUUUUGGCUUCAUACUUGACUUUUCUCUUUUUACUCUUUUUAUAUCAUUUUGUAGGUUUUUUCUUAGAUUUAUUCUUUUCUAGGUUCUUUCCUACAAAAAUACAAAAACAAUAUAUAUUACUCUAAUUCAAGUCCAAAAGUGAGUUCUAACAUCAUACUAAUCAGGGGUAAAAACUACAUUUUUGGAUACUUAUCAAUGACGAGAGUUACUAUUUCAAGUUCAACAUCGAAGAAGACAAACAAUCUGUACUGGAUUUGGGCUCUUUUCACAUGACAGGUAAAAUCUGUGAUAAACCCAUGGGAUAAAGAAGCAGAGGAGAAUAAAGGUUCCAUUAGAACUAUACCUGUUUGGAUCAAGCUAUCUAAUGUUCCAAAGCACAUGUGGCACACUAAAGGGCUGAGCUUGUUAGCUAGUGCAGUGGGGAAACCGCUUUGUAUGGACAAAGCCACGAAAACAAGGAAGAUGCUGACUUUUGCAAGAAUUUGUGUGGAUGUAGAAGCAAUAAAGGAAUUACCAGUUUCGAUCCCUAUUGAAAUUAACACAGGAAAGGUGAUUACUGUUGAAGUGGAGUAUGAUUGGAAACCUUUGUUAUCCACAAAAUGUCAAGUGUUUGGACACAAUACAACCAAAUGUGUUCCAACUAUCUCAUAUAAGAAGAAAGCGUAUGUAGGAGCAGGGAAAUGAGGGUUGGAUCAAUAGUAAAACUGUUUGGAGAUGGCAUAGGGAGGAAGUUCCGAUCACAAACAUGGAAAAAACUAAACAUCAAGGGGCAGGUACAAGUGGAGUUAAAAAGGUUAUUUCUAUGAAGAAGGGGUUUGUAGAUAAACCACAAAUGAAGAACAAGUUUAAAGUCCUUGAUGAGAUAGUAGAUGGUGAAGAGGUUAAUGUAGUAGGGGGUGAAACAGGAUGUGAUAAACAAGAAGAAGAAGUUCAAAAUUCUGAAGUGGGCGAUUCUAAGGAAGAUGGAGAAAUUACACCAAAUAGUGUUGAGGAAAUGGAUACCCAAUUUGAAGCUAUAGAAGAAGGAGUGGAGAAGGAGCUGAAUAGAAAGAUUGAAGCCAUUGUUAAAGACAACAAA